rnacentral:rRNA from 1 species
AUGUACGAAAAAGCAUGGGACUUUUACAACACUUAUGCAAGAUAUGUAGGGUUUGGCAUAUGCAAGAGGGCAAAACACAAGACAAAUGCCUACAUUGUCUGCUCAAGAGAAGGGGUGCACAAGCAGACUGUGUCAGAUUAUGACCGGAAAUGUGAGAAGACAUAAAAAAGGAUUGGCUGCAAGGCAAAAAUAAGAGUAAAAAAGAUGAAGGAUGACAAAUUUGUGAUAGAAAUGGUUGAACUAAAUCACAAUCACAAGAUGCUAGAAAGCCUCGGGAAGCUUCUGCACAUGCGCUCGCACAAAAGAGACGAUCCUUUGAUUGACCAGUUGGUGAAGGACAUGCAGAUGGACAACCACACACACACGCAUACGAUGUCAACGUUGUCGCGUAUGUCCGGUGGUCUGUAGUACAUGGGACAUAAUAGCCGCUACCGAGUCAACAAGAAACAGAAGUUUGCCAGAGAAGAGUCCCAACAUGACGUCAAGAAACUUCUGGAUUUCUUCGAGAAGAUGCAAAAGAUAAAUCCAGAGUUCUUCUAUGAUUAUGACGCCAACGCAAGUUGCAAAGGAUUGUAUGAAGAUUUUGGAGACUGUGUUACAUUUGACUCGACAUAUAAAACUAACAAAUGCCACGUGCCGCUAGGAGUCUUCGUGGGAGUGAACCAUCAUCUACAGAGUACCAUAUUUGCUGUCGCCCUUGUGUGAGAUGAAAUGAUACCGUUGUUUGAGUGGGUUUUCAUGACAUUCCCGAGGUGUAUGAACAACAAGCCGCCAAUCUGCAUGCUCACAGACCAAUGUUCUUUGAUGAAGGCAACAUUAAAAAUUACCCUCCCAGAUACAUUACAUAAGUUGUGUCGGUGGCAUAUCAUGAAGAAGUACAAAGACCACCUCACCUUGCUGUAUAAGGCGCACGGGAAACUAAAGGAUGACCUCAAUGCGGUGCUGAACCACCCACUAAUGCCGUCAGAAUUUGAACGGGCAUGGAAGGACCUCAUUCAGAAAUACAACUUGCAAAACAAUGAAGUGAUGAAUUCGCUGUGGGAUGAUAGGCACGAGUGGAUCUCAGCUUACUACAAGGAAAUUUUCUGUGCUCGGAUGACUUCCACGCAGAGAAGCGAGAGCAUGAACCGCAUAUUGAAGAAAAAAUUCAUCAAAGAGAAGCAUGAUCUCCAUCUGUUUGCUCAACAAGUGGACAAGUGCAUUCAGACCAGGAAGGCCGUCGAGCACGCAGAGACAGUAGCAAAUGAGGUAAAUAAAAAUAUCCAUAAAAAUGGCUAA